CUUCAUAAGGGGGAAGGCAGAGUGUGUGUUGAUUUCGAGCACUUGUAUCAUUUCUACCAACAGGGUGCUCUCGACGUCUCAAUUAUGACCUUGUGGACUGUAAUGGAGUCACACAAAUGUAGACGAUGUGGGAUUAACAAUAUAGGCUUCUUGGACCCUAGCACCGUACAUGAGAACACAAUCAAUUUACCAAGUACCGUUGACUACUUGUACAAAGCUUUCCUCUCCAUGCAGGAUAAAAGAUCCAUACUUCUUUCAUACAAUUGCUUUUAUCAUCAUGUCCUACUCGAUAUCAGCCUUAACGAUAGUCGAAUCGAGGUUUAUGACUCACGAAAGAGGCCAUUAUCACUAAUCCAGCCCGUCAUUGAUGUCGUCAACAAGUAAGUAAAGCAAGUGAAUUUAUACGAUAUUUCAAUGUCGUGUGUCUUAUUCAUGCAAUUUCUAUUUCAUAAUUUCGCUCAUAUAUAGGGCCU